GUAUGUGCAUAUAUUGAGUGUACACUGUACCCAAUGGUUAACAAUAAUUGUAUCAGCAACACAUUGUUGCAGUACACAAACCAAACCACUUCAAGUGAGCGUGCAAUAUGAUCGCCGCUUAUGCGCUAAGCUAAGUCAGCAUUCCCACGCUGACCACUUGAAGCAUAUAUAUAUAUACACAUAUGUACAUACGGCUCUUGCCCUCUCGAUUAUGCUGAUAAGACAAAUAUGUAUAAAGCCGCUCCGCUGUUGGCGUAACCGGCAGCGCAGCUAUGCGGUCUGAGUUAUAAGAAUAAAUUCAAUAAAGAUAUUCUAAAAACCGAAGUCAAACGGCACAGACGUGCCAGUGUUAUAAUUACAAUAGUGACAUAUUACAUGGCGACCGUGACAAGUGUCACGAACAUGUAGAUGUUCGGAAACAAAAAUAUGUUAAAAUAAAUCAUAUGAAAAAAAGCGGAAAGAGAGAGAGAGAGCGGCGAGAGCGGACAACAACAGCAGCACCACAGCAGGCACCACUAGAAGCAGCAGUAACAUCAAAAAAAUUAACAACGAAAUGGAGCGAAACUGAACGCAAAAUAGCAAAGCCAAGGAAGACCUGCCCGAACGACUGCGAGGGACCUCUACACUCGCCGCACUGCGAGUGCACCUGUGCAGCCUGCACCGGUGCCCCAACAGAGAAGCAGUAGCAGCCUGUGCAGCCAGCACCGGCCUCGUCUAGCGCAACAAGCUAGACCCGGAGCAGUGAACCGACAGCGCUUCCUAGAGCGCCCACCGCCAAACAAAAUUUUUUUU